GACGAACGCUGGCGGCGUGCUUAACACAUGCAAGUCGAACGGAAAGGCCCUGCUUUUGUGGGGUGCUCGAGUGGCGAACGGGUGAGUAACACGUGAGUAACCUGCCCUUGACUUUGGGAUAACUUCAGGAAACUGGGGCUAAUACCGGAUAGGAGCUCCUGCCGCAUGGUGGGGGUUGGAAAGUUUCGGCGGUUGGGGAUGGACUCGCGGCGUAUCAGCUUGUUGGUGGGGUAGUGGCUUACCAAGGCUUUGACGGGUAGCCGGCCUGAGAGGGUGACCGGCCACAUUGGGACUGAGAUACGGCCCAGACUCCUACGGGAGGCAGCAGUGGGGAAUAUUGCACAAUGGGCGGAAGCCUGAUGCAGCAACGCCGCGUGCGGGAUGACGGCCUUCGGGUUGUAAACCGCUUUCGCCUGUGACGAAGCGUGAGUGACGGUAAUGGGUAAAGAAGCACCGGCUAACUACGUG
rnacentral:rRNA from 1 species